rnacentral:piRNA from 1 species
UAGAAACAGUCGGAAAAAAGU